CCGCCGACAGAUCGGGUCCCACCCCGACUAG
rnacentral:sRNA from 1 species